rnacentral:rRNA from 1 species
ACUCAAAGGAAUUGACGGGGGCCCGCACAAGCGGUGGAGCAUGUGGUUCAAUUCGACGCAACGCGAAGAACCUUACCCAGGCUCGAACGGUGAUGGACAUCCGGCGAAAGCCGGCUCCCGCAAGGGUCGUCACCGAGGUGCUGCAUGGCUGUCGUCAGCUCGUGUCGUGAGAUGUUGGGUUAAGUCCCGCAACGAGCGCAACCCUUGUCCGCUGUUGCCAUCAGGUUAAGCUGGGCACUCUGCGGAGACUGCCGGUGAUAAACCGGAGGAAGGUGGGGAUGACGUCAAGUCAGCAUGGCCUUUAUGUCUGGGGCUACACACGUGCUACAAUGGCAGAUACAAACCGUCGCGAGACCGCAAGGUGGAGCUAAUCGGAGAAAGUCUGUCUCAGUUCGGAUUGCAGGCUGCAACUCGCCUGCAUGAAGUUGGAAUCGCUAGUAAUCGCGGAUCAGCACGCCGCGGUGAAUACGUUCCCGGGCCUUGUACACACCGCCCGU